rnacentral:lncRNA from 1 species
CCAUGAACUGUGUGUGGAUUCAUUGUCUGCAUUGGAUGACGAACUCUUGAGUGUUGCUGCUAAGCAGUGUGUCCCCGAGAAAGUGUCAGAGCCUUUACGUGGACCUUCCCAUGGAAAAGGAAACAGAAUAGUCAAUGGAAAAGGAGAAGGGCCUCCUGCAAAACAUCCUUCCUUGAAGCCUAGCACUGAAAUGGAAGAUCCUGCUGUGAAAGGAGCAGUACAAAAAAGAAUGUACAGACAUUGAGAGCAGUGUUGAUUUACCCAAUACUAAUGGGAACCAUUGAGCAUUUGCCUUGUGGUGUCUCCUCAGCUGUAUUCACACAUUCCAUCACCUUGUCUUAAUGGAUAAUCAUGCACUAACAAGCCUUACCAGUGGCUUCAGAGGAAGAACAGCAAAGGCGUGAAAGAAGUGAAAAGAAGCAACCACAGGUCAUAGAAGGAAAUAAUACAUACAAAAGUGAAAAAAUACAACUAUCAGAAAAUAUAUGUCAUAGUACAUUUUCUGCUGCUGCUGACAGAUUAACCCAACAAAGAAAGAUUGGGAAAACAUAUCCUCAGCAAUUUCCCAAGAAACUGAAGGAAGAGCAUGAUAGAUGCACCUUAAAACAAGAAAAUGAAGAAAAAACAAAUGUUAAUAUGCUGCACAAAAAAAAUCGAGAAGAAUUAGAAAGGAAAGAGAAACAAUAUAAGAAAGAAGUUGAAGCAAAACAACUUGAACCAACUGUUCAAUCACUAGAGAUGAAACCAAAGACUGCAAGAAAUACUCCAAAUCAGGAUUUUCAUAAUCAUGAAGAAGUGAAAGAUCUGAUGGAUGAAAAUUGCAUUUUGAAGACAGAUAUUGCUAUACUCAGACAGGAAAUAUGCACAAUGAAAAAUGACAACCUGGAAAAAGAAAAUAAAUAUCUUAAGGACAUUAAAAU